AGUGGUUAAAAGAUAGAACAGUCUAGUCAAGUGCCAUGUCUCUUAUUCUUGAUCAGCUAUAGCUCUGGUGUUUUUGCAGAUUUUCAAAUAAAACUCAGAGAUUCCUUGUAUGAUUCUCUCAUAUCUCUCUUUUGUGGUAUUUCUGGAUCCUUACCAAGGCAGUGAUGGUAUAUGCCUUCUCUCAAAAUAUGUAGUAUUUGUGGUAUAAGACAUAGUGACAUUGCCUUCUCUCUCAUCCUACUCUAAUAAGGCUUUGAUAUCUGGAGCUCAUAGGUGGGAGAUAAAAUAUACAUACUUACAAGACAUGUAUUGCAUAGUCAAACCAUGGAUCCAAAGAAACAAGUCAAUAAGCCAAAUCAAGAUGUGCAUGUGUGGCGAAUGAAUGGUGUAUGGUGAUGAUGGUGAUAACAAUGGUGAAAGUCUAAUUCUACUUUUGCUCUUUUGAGGGGAUAUAUACCUUCCUUGCUUUUUGAAAUUUUAUGAGGAGAAUGAGAUGCUCUUCUUUUUCUUUUCUCUCAGGUGGGUAUCUUGUACCCCUAAUUCUACUGUCGGACACUUGUCCAUUUUUACCUCUCGUCUCACUUUUUCUUUUCUUUCGAGGUUUCGGGCACUUGCCCCUUUUUAUUUCCCCGUAUCUUUUUUUUCAGAGCACUCAUCUCUUGAGAUAAUAUAGCAAGUGGUAGUAACAAGAUAACUUGAGCAUUUAUUUCACAAGGGAAAAACAGAAAUAUUUUUGGGUGAUUCUGAAGAUGGAAUGGGUGGAUAUAUGUGGAUGGUACUUCCAGAGUAGAAGUAGCAUAUAUGAGUGAACGUGCAAGUGAAUCUUGAUUUUAACCACAUGACAAGCUCCUAAGGGUCUACACAGCUUGACCACACUCAAUGCUCAUAAGCAGUAAAUAGUAAAUGUGUGGCUCAGAGUCUAGCAAGAAUGUAUAUAUGGCUGUGGUAGGAAUUUAAAACUCUCAUCAUACAGGAACUCAUCAUGCAACAUUUUAAAGAUUUUCAAAGAUAAAAUUCUCCAGAAUUCUAGUAUCUCUAGGAACAGAUAAACAGCAGCUCAACCUUCCCAUAUCGUAUCCGCUAACAACUUAGACUUCAGAUCAAGUUUUCAUCCCACAAGUUUAGGUCUUAGAGCAAGCUUUAAAUUAUAACAGUUAUAUCUAAACUUGAGAGAGAACUUAAAAUGUGCAAAUUAGGCAGAGCAACUAUUCAUCAUAUCCAUGCUAGAGUUUUAUUUAGAUACAGAUU
rnacentral:lncRNA from 1 species